rnacentral:rRNA from 1 species
CUGCAUUAGCUAGUUGGUAAGGUAACGGCUUACCAAGGCAACGAUGCAUAGCCGACCUGAGAGGGUGAUCGGCCACACUGGAACUGAGACACGGUCCAGACUCCUACGGGAGGCAGCAGUAGGGAAUCUUCCGCAAUGGGCGAAAGCCUGACGGAGCAACGCCGCGUGAGUGAUGAAGGUCUUCGGAUCGUAAAACUCUGUUAUUAGGGAAGAACAUAUGUGUAAGUAACUGUGCACAUCUUGACGGUACCUAAUCAGAAAGCCACGGCUAACUACGUGCCAGCAGCCGCGGUAAUACGUAGGUGGCAAGCGUUAUCCGGAAUUAUUGGGCGUAAAGCGCGCGUAGGCGGUUUUUUAAGUCUGAUGUGAAAGCCCACGGCUCAACCGUGGAGGGUCAUUGGAAACUGGAAAACUUGAGUGCAGAAGAGGAAAGUGGAAUUCCAUGUGUAGCGGUGAAAUGCGCAGAGAUAUGGAGGAACACCAGUGGCGAAGGCGACUUUCUGGUCUGUAACUGACGCUGAUGUGCGAAAGCGUGGGGAUCAAACAGGAUUAGAUACCCUGGUAGUCCACGCCGUAAACGAUGAGUGCUAAGUGUUAGGGGGUUUCCGCCCCUUAGUGCUGCAGCUAACGCAUUAAGCACUCCGCCUGGGGAGUACGACCGCAAGGUUGAAACUCAAAGGAAUUGACGGGGACCCGCACAAGCGGUGGAGCAUGUGGUUUAAUUCGAAGCAACGCGAAGAACCUUACCAAAUCUUGACAUCCUUUGACAACUCUAGAGAUAGAGCUUUCCCCUUCGGGGGACAAAGUGACAGGUGGUGCAUGGUUGUCGUCAGCUCGUGUCGUGAGAUGUUGGGUUAAGUCCCGCAACGAGCGCAACCCUUAAGCUUAGUUGCCAUCAUUAAGUUGGGCACUCUAAGUUGACUGCCGGUGACAAACCGGAGGAAGGUGGGGAUGACGUCAAAUCAUCAUGCCCCUUAUGAUUUGGGCUACACACGUGCUACAAUGGACAAUACAAAGGGCAGCGAAACCGCGAGGUCAAGCAAAUCCCAUAAAGUUGUUCUCAGUUCGGAUUGUAGUCUGCAACUCGACUACAUGAAGCUGGAAUCGCUAGUAAUCGUAGAUCAGCAUGCUACGGUGAAUACGUUCCCGGGUCUUGUACACACCGCCCGUCACACCACGAGAGUUUGUAACACCCGAAGCCGGUGGAGUAACCUUUUAGGAGCUAGCCGUCGAAGGUGGGACAAAUGAUUGGGGUGAAGUCGUAACAAGGUAGCCGUAUCGGAAGGUGCGGCUG